CACACACACACACACACACACAUCCCUAGCUUAGGGUCCCUCUAUUUGGCAUGGACUCAUUUUCUGCCAGGAAUGCAUAUCUUCCUUGCAGGCUGAGGCACUAUAUGGACUGUACUAAAAACACUCAACCCACUGAUUCUGGUGAAAUUAUUUUGGAGUGACAGGGAUAGGCAGGGGCUUUCCUGGGCUCAGGACUCUAGCUGGGGAGUGGCAAAAGCCACAGUGCAACUCAACUCAGGAGAAAAUAAAUGCCUGGAAAUUUGAGCCAGCUGUUUUUUUCUUACUCACCAAAGUGCAUUGAGUCAACCCUUAAUCUUUUGUCAAUAUUUGCGGACUGAAAACACGACAAACCACCCCCUGUGCCGCUCAGAGUGUAGACACUGACUGAUGGGACCAGGUACAAAAUCCCCUGGGACAAAACAGAACUUUCAUAACUGGCUGUAGAGUUAUUGUUUUUGCCUUUUGGAAGCUUCCACCUUGUGACGGGAAGAGCACUGUCAGCCCAACACAGAAACUCUGCCGCCUGGAGUCACGUGGAUCCAGAUGCGAAGGGACUCCAACGUCAUGCUAAGGAGUUUGGGCUAAGAAUUUGUACAGCCAUAUUACAGAUUUGGAAAAUGAUGUGAAGAGAAGCUAAGGGAUUUGCCACUGCCACUCAGCUGCCAAGGAUCAGAGGCAGGAUUCUAGUCUGUCCCCUUUGUUCCAUCACCCCUGCCUCCCCCUGGGCCCAGCCACCAUCACCUCUCCUGGGGGGAGCUCCUAAUUGUUCUCCCUUCUUCCUCUUGUGCGCUCCUCCAAACUAUCUCCAGCCAAAGUGAUCUUUAACAAUGUAAAUCCAGUUAUAUCACUCUUUCCAUUGUAACAGACAUUACUUCUACUUCUCAACGUCCAUCCUCCAACCAUUGUCCAGUGAUUCAGGCAGAAUUCCCUCCUGCUCAGGAGGUGAGUCGACCCAGUAGUGCCACUGGCUCUGCAACAGGAAUUGGUUAGCAGGGCUUUGCAUCUCCUUGGCCACAGACGUUGGGCAGGUGUGGAAAAAGGCCAUCAGCUAGAUGCUCAAGAUUGAAUUCUGAGAUUGUGGGGGUGAUGCUCUUGCUCUCAUCCCUGUCUGCAGGUAGCCAUCCUGUGACCCUGGAAGAAACCAGCCCAAGGAAGGUGCUAACCUACAGAAGAAGGACAUGGCCAGGGUAAUCACAUAGACCCGGAGUUGAAGCCCUGACUGCACCACACCCGAAGCCUCCCCACCUUUCAACCUCUCGGUGAUGGUGAACCAAUAAACUCUUUUUAUUGUUCAA
rnacentral:lncRNA from 1 species